rnacentral:rRNA from 1 species
AUUAAAUUCGGAGGGGUGUAGCUGGCCUCGGAAACGAGGAUGUGCACGCUCUUCUGUUUUUCAUAACUCACCUGUGCACCUUAUGUAGGAUGCUCCUCUUUCGGGAGGGGGGACCUAUGUUUUUGUAUAACUCUUCGUGUAGAAAGUCUUAGAAUGUUUACUAUCAGAGAGUCGCGACUUCUAGGAGACGCGAAUCUCUGAGAUAAAAGUUAAUUACAACUUUCAGCAAUGGAUCUCUUGGCUCUCGCAUCGAUGAAGAACGCAGCGAAAAGCGAUAUGUAAUGUGAAUUGCAGAUCUACAGUGAAUCAUCGAAUCUUUGAACGCACCUUGCGCUCCUCGGUGUUCCGAGGAGCAUGCCUGUUUGAGUGUCAGUAAAUUCUCAACCCCUCUCGAUUUGUUUCGAGAGGAAGCUUGGAUGGUGGAGGCUGCAGGAGACUAGAACUUUCGUCUUGGACUCGGGCUCUCCUUAAAUGCAUUGGCUUGCGGACGACUUUCGACUUUGCGCGACAAGGCUUUCGGCGUGAUAAUGAUCGCCGUUCGCUGAAGCGCAUGAAUGAAGGUUCCGUGCCUCUAAUACGUCGACUUAGUAUCUCUUAGGAGAGAAAACGUCUUCCUUAUUGACUUUUGACCUCAAAUCAGGUAGGACUACCCGCUGAACUUAAGCUACCCUAGGGGGGGGGGGGGA